rnacentral:rRNA from 1 species
UACGUAGGUGGCAAGCGUUGUCCGGAUUUACUGGGUGUAAAGGGCGUGUAGCCGGGCUGACAAGUCAGAUGUGAAAUCCGGGGGCUCAACCCCCGAACUGCAUUUGAAACUGUUGGUCUUGAGUAUCGGAGAGGCAGGCGGAAUUCCUAGUGUAGCGGUGAAGUGCGUAGAUAUUAGGAGGAACACCAGUGGCGAAGGCGGCCUGCUGGACGACAACUGACGGUGAGGCGCGAAAGCGUGGGGAGCAAACAGG